rnacentral:rRNA from 1 species
AACGCGAAGAACCUUACCAGCCCUUGACAUGUCCCGUAUGGGGUCCGGAGACGGGCUUCUUCAGUUCGGCUGGCGGGAACACAGGUGCUGCAUGGCUGUCGUCAGCUCGUGUCGUGAGAUGUUGGGUUAAGUCCCGCAACGAGCGCAACCCUCAUCUUCAGUUGCCAUCGGGUUAAGCUGGGCACUCUGAAGAAACCGCCGGUGACAAGCCGGAGGAAGGCGGGGAUGACGUCAAGUCCUCAUGGCCCUUAUGGGCUGGGCUACACACGUGCUACAAUGGCGGUGACAAUGGGACGCGAUGGGGCGACCCGGAGCCAAUCUCAAAAAGCCGUCUCAGUUCAGAUUGCACUCUGCAACUCGAGUGCAUGAAGGUGGAAUCGCUAGUAAUCGUGGAUCAGCACGCCACGGUGAAUACGUUCCCGGGCCUUGUACACACCGACGCGUA